rnacentral:tRNA from 1 species
AGUCUUAUAGUCAAAUAUGAUAUUAAAUUGCAAAUUUAAUGGUAAAUAUAAAUUUUAAGGCUU